rnacentral:lncRNA from 1 species
GUUUUCACGAACCCACAGAGACAGAAACCUGCGGCAAUGGAGAAAAUGCUAAUACAGACAUCUUACUUCAGUGUCUGGCAAACACUGAGGACGAUGUAGACGUCAGCUUCCCUGACGAGGGAAGCUGCAGCUUUCUGAUGAUUCCUGAAGCCUACAUUCUAUUAAUUUCCCCGAAGAGCCCUAUUGCCUAAUGGAACAUUGUGAGAAUGGCCAGUCUGGAAAGCAGGAUCAGUGGAGCUGGCUUCUGGCUCACUGGCUUUCAGCUGAGCCUUCCAAAUGGCUGGGAAUGAACAUCCAGUUAGAAGCCUCGGUUUGGAACAGUGGUUCUCAGACUUCAUGGUGUGUGACAGUCACUGGGGAACUUGUCCAAACACAGAUUGACAGACCCCAUCCCAAAGUUUCUGAUUCAGCGGCUCUAGGGAGGGCCCUAAGAACACGAGCUCCUCUUCCCAAGCUCCCAGGUGACGCUGAGGUUGCUGCCCCGGGAGCCCACUUUGAGAACUGCUGAUCUAGGGUGUGCUGGGGUAACUCUGGCUGUCAGAGGGGUCAGGACACUUGGUCUCCUUCUCUUUGGUCUCACUGAGAAUGUGAAUGUGAAUGGCCUUUUGAGGCCACUUGCACUGAGUCCUCUACAGGGCACACUGGACGGCGGGGGAGCGUCUGGAAGGGGUCUGCACACCGGCUUGCAGCCUCAGUGAUGCUCAUCUAGUGCGGGUCCUGCGUGGUCCCCAGAGGAACCCAGUGAGAAAUCCGGAGGAGACGGACAGAGAGGAGGAUGACUUCCUUUUGUAUUACAACGUCAUGAUUACAAAUAAUCAUAAUAGAGUGCCCAUUUUAAAGUGGCCUUUCCCUCCAAGCACACAGGAGACUCCCUCAGAUUCCCUAGGAAACCAAAGAAAUACUGAAUCUACUCCACAAAAGGUACUUGGUUGGCUGCUUCCCCAGGAACAUCCCUCCAUCCUCACGGGUAUCCCGCCAUGGACCUCGGGGAGCCCUGGACAAACAUGCAUGUGUGCGACGCUUGUAACAAACCUGCAAGGUUACCAAGGGCUUCAACGACAUUUAUUCUCCCAGCAAGCAAGUCAUGAGUGUGUCCUGCCUUAUCUAUGGUGGAAGGAAAGUACACAGAACUAGGACGCACGUGUCUAUCCCGGUCUCUGGUCUCUUGUCCAGCGAUAGCAUCCUCCGGGCUGCGUGAACUCAGCUUGGGGCUGUGAAGGGACAGCCGUAUAUCUUGUCACCGAGGGCCACCGCAAUGGGGAGCUGCACCUGACACAUUUACAUUUCACAAAGAUAUCUGCCACUCCGUGGACACGGACCAGCAAGAGGCUUGGAUGACCUAGGAUUCUGAUGAUGUAUUCUCCAUUUCAAUUCUAGACUGUGUGCAAACUUCAUUCUUUCUUCUACGUUCUUUAGUUAUGACUAUUACAGGAGAAAGGAAAAAAUCGAAGGUGAAGGAAGCAAAGACAGAAAGGAAGGACGGUUUGGUGGCCAGAGCGAGGUCUUCCCACGUCACUCCCGGGACGUGUGCUGACGCGUUGCUCCUCCGUCCUGCAGAACGCCGUGGGUCGUGGCAGCAGCUGCAGCUGUUUCACAGGCUGUCCUCCCUGUAGACUAAGCAUCUACUCCGCGCUAUAGGGCAAUGCGAGACAAAAAAGACCCCCGGGAGCUUGCCAUCCAGCUGAGGAAGCCUAAUUAGCCACGCUUCCUGUAGCAUACAGUGGUCACUUUCUCCUCCAUGGAAGUAUGUCUGGGCCCACGCACCCCACUGCUUCCAGAGCCUCCACGCGCUGUGUGUCCCCCGUGGCGCUUUGCUUGCCACCGAGCCCUGCGUCUUGAGAACUCUGAACGGUUUGUUGUAGUCAAGACACUCGGAGAUCCUAGAGACGCGAAAAGCAGGAGGGGAACGUGUGACGGCCACUGCGAGGCUCAGGGAGAAUUUAAUUCAAAUUUGGAUUUUUCUCACUCUUACGCUUUGGGGCAAUACUGUUAAAUGGUAAAUAUAUAGCCAUUGUAUGAACAGCAAUACACAAAGGAGUUAUUUGGAAAUGAAAGCCUUAUUGAAGGCACUGGAAAAAUUAAACAAAUAAAUGUUUCCUUUAGAUUGCUCAUUC